UAUAAUAAAACAUUGUAACAAAGAUAUAAAGUAUAAAAACAUGCGAUUUUAAGAACAUCCAAUUAAAUAGAUUUUUAAUAUUUAAACGCGUUUGCGUUGAUCCGUAUGAAAGUAACCGGUAACUAGAAUUGAGCUACCGGUAGAUUACCGGUAACUUACCGGUCAGUAACAUUACCGGUAAGUAACUUGCCGAACCCUACAUAUAAGUAACUGUUGUUUAUCUUAAAUUAUCAUUUGAAUCGUUUAAAUUUUAUGUAGAAAUGCUCUUUAUUAAUUUAAAAAUCUAUGUUAAAGACUUCAAUUUCUGCUUUGUUUUUUAGAAUUAAUUUUUUUUUUUUACUAAUGAUUCAAAAGAUUGGAAGCUUUUUAUAUAAAGUGGAUUAAGAAAGACCGGGCGUCAACAUUUGCUAACACAAGUCAAUUUGAGGCAAUCAAACCGGAAUGAAUCAAAAACAACAAAAAGAAUUCGGAGAUAAAUAAACUUAGACAAACUUAGAGAAAAUCUACAACAUAAAUAUACUAAAUUUUUAAAAUAUCUGCUGAAAAUUGAUAUUUGACUGAUUGCCGUGUUACUAUUUAAGAGAUUGUGAUACUAGUCUUUUUUAGCAAUAUGCGUUAUUAGAUUUAUUCAUAAAUAUUACAUAUCAUCAUUACGCGUUAUAAAUGCGUUGAAAAAAAUCAGAAGAAAUGCCUCACCGGCAAACAAGUUGUCAUUUUUAUAUAAUACAUGAAAAACCUGUCAGCAAAUUUAUGUCUUUAAUUUUUAGCAGAAUUAUAUUUUGUGUCCUUUUUUCGAUAUUUUGAAGCUAUAUAUUUUGCAAAAUUUUAUUCCAAAUGAAUCCAAGUCUAUAAAUUUUUUUCAAUAUUUUGAAUGCUAUAUAUUUUGCAAGAUUUUGUUCCAAAUGAAUCCAAGUCUAUUUUUUAAAGUUUGUUUUUAAAUUAAAUCAGUGAAAAAGGUAGGGGUCAGUCUUAAAAUAAUACCAAAAACCUCGUUUUAUCAAGUCUUCAGAUAUUGAAAUAAAUUUUUUUAUAAAUUCGGAAACGUUUAUGAAACACCUUUUUUGGACCGAUUGCCAGCUGGGUUGGUAUUCAAAAAAAGUUAUUUAGAUUUCAAAACUAUCUUUUAUAUAUAAAAAUUUUUUUAAUAAACUAAAAAUGCAAGUUUUUUGAUAAUUUUUUUUUUUCGUGUUUUACAUAAGAUAAUUAUUUUUAAAUUUUUUAUGGUAUUUUUUUGAAAAUAGUAGGAGCUGUCUGGCGUCGUCCAGUAAAUUAAUUAAAUAAAUAAUUUGGAUACCACCCUAUUGUAUAUUUUGACCUUUAAUCGUUAAAGAGAAGAUUAUGACUUUUUUUUUUA